CGGCGAGUGAAGCGGCAACAGCUCAAAUUUGAAAGCUGGCCCUUUUAGGGUCCGCGUUGUAAUUUGUAGAGGAUGAUUCGGCGAGGGCUCCUGCCUAAGUCCCCUGGAACGGGGCGUCAUAGAGGGUGAGAAUCCCGUAUGCGGUAGGUUGCCUUAGCCAUGUGAAUCUCCUUCGACGAGUCGAGUUGUUUGGGAAUGCAGCUCUAAAUGGGAGGUAAAUUUCUUCUAAAGCUAAAUACUGGCCAGAGACCGAUAGCGCACAAGUAGAGUGAUCGAAAGAUGAAAAGCACUUUGGAAAGAGAGUUAAAAAGUACGUGAAAUUGUUGAAAGGGAAGCGCUUGCAACCAGACUUGUCCGCAGUUGCUCAGCCGGUCUCCUGACCGGCGUACUCUUCUGCGGCCAGGCCAGCAUCAGUUCGGGCGGUCGGAUAAAGGCCUCGGGAAUGUAGCUCCUCUCGGGGAGUGUUAUAGCCCGGGGUGGAAUGCGACCAGCCUGGACUGAGGAUCUCGCUUCGGCAAGGAUGCUGGCGUAAUGGUUGUAAGCGGCCCGUCUUGAAACACGGACCAAGGAGUCUAACAUCUAUGCGAGUGUUCGGGUGUCAAACCCGUACGCGUAAUGAAAGUGAACGGAGGUGGGAACCCGCAAGGGUGCACCAUCGGCCGAUCCUGAUGUCUUCGGAUGGAUUUGAGCAAGAGCAUAGCUGUUGGGACCCGAAAGAUGGUGAACUAUGCCUGAAUAGGGUGAAGCCAGAGGAAACUCUGGUGGAGGCUCGCAGCGGUUCUGACGUGCAAAUCGAUCGUCAAAUUUGGGUAUAGGGGCGAAAGACUAAUCGAACCAUC
rnacentral:rRNA from 1 species